UUCUAUAUGAUAGAGUUGAGCCUCUCCAACUUCUACUAUUUUCUGGUGGACAAUAUUCCUUUUGUGUUUAGAUGCUAUUGAAGCCUGGGUCUGCUAUGUACUUUAGAAGCGUUCAACCUUGAUGAGUGAGCUGAGUUUGUGUUGUAGUUGUGUAAGCUGGGAAGGUUGCAGAAUAAUGAGCUGAAGCUGAUUGCAGAGCAUCAUUUAUUACUUGUUUUUGUCAGUCAGUUAGAUGAGCUAUAAACAGAGUUUGUUGACUUUGCAGCUUCCUAUGUACUCUUGUGUGCUGUUCAUUUCUUGAAUGAGAAGUAGUCACUCUGCAAGCCUGCUCAAGAUUUAUAGUACUGUAAGUUUGAAUAUUUGUCUAAAAAUGAAAAUAAGAUAAAUUACAUUUAGCAAUUU
rnacentral:misc_RNA from 1 species